UUGGAAAUGCCAUUUUUAUUUAAGUGGUAUCUCCUCUGACCAGAACUUUGGAUGUUAAAAGAAUGUGGCCAUCGCCAGGCUCUCGCCUCAUCCCUGGCUCUACAUGAUGACUGAUGAUGGUGACGAUGAUGCUAAUGAAGGCUGGCAUUUAUAUGCUUCAGAAGAGGCAAGCAUCUCUUAUAAUAGAAUUCCACCUGUCAGUGAGACCGAUUCCUGUAGGGGAAUUGUUUUGUGGGGCCAGAGGACCUUCUUCACACCCCUGUAAUCAUGGAAAUUCCAUUCCCAAAUGAACUGGAGGAAUUCCAUGGGAACUGGAACAACCUCCAGGAAUUGAUGCAGAGUGAGAGGAGCAGAACCAGGAGAACAUUGUACACAGAGACUGAUACACUGUGGUACAAUAGAAUGUAAUGGACUUCUCUACUAGCAGCAAUGAAGUGAUCCAGAACUAUUUGGAGGGACUUCUGAGAAAGAACCCUAACCACAUCCAGAGAAAGAACUGUGGGAGCAGAAACACAGAAGAAAAACAACUGCCUGAUCACAUGGGUUGAGGGGAUAUGAUUGGGGAUGCGGACUCUAAGUGAUCAUUCUAGUGCAAAUAUCAAUAAUAUGGAAAUAGGUCUUAAUCAAUGACACAUGUAAAACCCAGUGGAAUUGUGCAUCAGUUAUGGUGGGGGGAGGGGAAGAGAAUAGGAGGGAAAGAACAUGAAUCAUGUAACCAUGGAAAAAUAUUCUAAGUUAAUUAAACAAAAAUUUUCAAUAAAAAAUUCCUUUCCCAGAAG